rnacentral:rRNA from 1 species
GUGAGGAAUUUUCCGCAAUGGGCGAAAGCCUGACGGAGCAAUGCCGCGUGAAGGAUGAAGGCCUAUGGGUUGUAAACUUCUUUUCCCAGAAAAGAAUUAUGACGGUAUCUGAGGAAUAAGCAUCGGCUAACUCUGUGCCAGCAGCCGCGGUAAGACAGAGGAUGCAAGCGUUAUCCGGAAUGAUUGGGCGUAAAGCGUCUGUAGGUUGUUUAAAAAGUAUUCUGUCAAAGAUUAGGGCUUAACCCUAGAUAGGCAGAAUAAACUUUUAAGCUAGAGUUUGGUAGAGGCAGAGGGAAUUCCCGGUGGAGCGGUGAAAUGCGUAGAUAUCGGGAGGAACACCAAAGGCGAAGGCACUCUGCUGGGCCAAUACUAACACUGAGAGACGAAAGCGAGGGGAGCAAAUGGGAUUAGAUACCCGUGUAGUCC